UACGUAGGGGGCGAGCGUUGUCCGGAGUUAUUGGGCGUAAAGGGCUCGUAGGCGGUCUGUUGCGUCAGGAGUGAAAACUCGGGGCUUAACCCCGAGCCUGCUUCUGAUACGGGCAGACUAGAGGUAUGCAGGGGAGAACGGAAUUCCUGGUGUAGCGGUGAAAUGCGCAGAUAUCAGGAGGAACACCAAUAGCGAAGGCAGCUCGCUGGGACGUUACUGACACUGAGGCGCGAAAGCGUGGGGAGCGAACAGG
rnacentral:rRNA from 1 species